UAUUGGGUCCAUAUAUAUUUAGGAUCGUUAGCUCUUCUUGUUGUAUCGAUCUUUUUACCAUUAUGUAAUGACCUUCUUCGUCUCUUUUGAUCUUCGUUACUUUAAAGUCUAUUUUAUCAGAGACGAGAAUUGCAACUCCUGCUUUUUUUUUUUUUUUUGCUCUCCAUUUGCUUGGUAAAUCUUCCUCCAUCCCUUUAUUUUGAGCCUUUGUGUAUCCUUGCAUGUGAUAUGGGUUUCCUGGAUACAGCACACUGAUGGGUUUUGUUUUUUUAUCCAAUUUGCCAGUCUGUGUCUUUUGAUUGGUGCAUUUAGCCCACUUACAUUUAGGGUUAAUAUUAUUAUGUGUGAAUUUGAUACUGCCAUUUUGAUGCUAGCUGGCUGUUUUGCCCGUUAGUUGUUGCAGAUUCUUCUUUUUGUUAAUGCUCUUUAGCAUUUGGUAUGUUUUUAGAAUGGCUGGUACUGGUUGUUUCUUUCUAUGUAUAGUGCCUCUUUCAGGAGCCUUGUAAAGCAGGCCUGAUGGUGACAAAAUCUCUGAAUACUUGCUUGUUUGCAAAGGAUUUUAUUUUUCUUUCACAUAUGAAGCUCAGUUUGGCUGGAUAUGAGAUUCUGGGUUGAAAGUUGUUUUCUUUAAGGAUGUUGAUUAUUGGCCCCCACUCUCUUCUGGCUUGUAGAGUUUCUGCCAAGAGAUCUGCUGUGAGUCUGAUGGGCUUUCCUUUGUGGGUGACCUGACAUUUCUCUCUGGCUACUCUUAGUAUUUUCUCCUUCAUUUCAACCCUGGUGAGUCUGACGAUAUGUGCCUUGGGGUUGCUUUUCUUGUGGAAUAUCUUUGUGGUGUUCUCUGUAUUUCCUGGACUUUAAUAUUGGCCUGCCUUGCUAGGUUGUGGAAAUUCUUCUGGAUAAUAUCCUGAAGAGUAUUUUCCACCUUGGAUUCAUUCUCUUUGUCACAUUCUGGUACACCUAUCAAACGUAGGUUAGGUCUCUUCACAUUGUCCCAGUUGCUCGGAGACUUUGCUCAUUCCUUUUUGCACUUUUUUCUCUAAUCUUGGUUUCUUGUUUAAUUUCAUUGAGUUGAUCUUCGACUUCUGAUAUUCUUUUUUCUGCUUGGUCAAUUCGGCUAUUGAAACUUGUGCAUGCUUUGUGAAGUUCUUGUGUUGUGUUUUUCAGCUCCUUCAAUUCAUUCAUAUUCCUCUCUAAGUUGUCCAUUCUUGUUAUCAUUUCCUCGAAUCUUUUUUCAAAUCUUUUUUAAAGGUUCUUAGUUUUUUUGCAUUGAUUUAGAACAUGUUCCUUUAACAUUCACUUGAUAAACUAUAGCUCUUAUUGUUUCUUAGGAUUAUAAUGAUAUAUUAAUAAUAGCAAAAGUUAAUGAACCUGGCACUGUUUUAAGCACUUUCCCAAAUAUUAAAUAUUAAAACAAUCUUCUGAGGCGGUGAUCUUAACAUAAUAAACUGUAUUCUCAAAGCAGACACAAAAAGUUAGAAAUUUUACCCUGCAUCAUUCUUCACUAAUAUUUGUUACAAGGAAUUACAAGGUAUACACUUAGCAGUAGGAGUUCCAAGACCACUAACACUGGUCCUCAUGUGAUUUCCUGAUGAAUCAGGAUUCCCUCUGGCAUAGAUUAACAUCUGAGGUCCUUAAAGAGGUAAUGCAUGUGGCUACAUUACUUACACAAAAGAUAGGUUUUUAAAAAAUUAAUGUCACCUUUUCCUUUUUUCUUUAAGAUGGAGUCUUGCUCUGUCACCCAGGCUGGAGUGCAGUGGUCUGAUCUCAGCUCACUGCAACCUCCACCUUCUAGGUUCAAGCGAUUCUUCUGUGUCAGCCUUCUGAGUAGCUGGGAUUACAGGUGUGUGUCACCAUGCCCAGCUGAUUUUGUAUUUUUAGUAGAGAAGGGGUUUCACUAUAUUGGCCGGGCUGGUCUCAAACUCUCAACCUCAGGUGAUUCCCCUGCUUCAACCUCCCAAAGUGCUGGGAUUACAGGCAUGAGCCACUGCGCCCAGCACACUUCUCCAUUUUAUACUCAGUUACUAGUUUACAUGACACUUUGGCAGACAAUGACACAUAAAUCCCUAUAUUCCAGGUGUACUUAUCAAAACCAAUCAAUACAUCCCAAGUUACUCCUGCUAAUGGCAUUCCAGAGAUUAGAACUAUCUAGCAAAUAUAAUUAAUAUGCUUUCCAGGAUGUUUGUCAUCAGAAUGUUUAUAAGAAGAUUUAACUAGGUCACCUUUUUUCUUUCCUAAAGCCCUCCAUCUAGUAAUGAGAGAAGAUAGAUUGUAGGCAUACUAUUAAGUAGUUCUUUCUAGGCGGGUCCUGAUACAAUUUCCAUUUUAAAGUUGAAAACAUUGGAGCACAGGAAGGUUAAGUUAGUUGUAAUAAAGAGAACUAAGUAGUAAAUGAUGGAGCUAUAUAGAAAAGAUUAUAGUUGCAUAUCGACAUAUGCAAGGCACUAAAUUGUGUAAAAAUUCUCAACCUUGUAUUUAAUAUCUCAAUACCGUAAAAUUUGAAAGAUAUAUAUAUAUAUUAUAUAUAAUAUAUCUAUAUACAUUAUAUAUACCUCAAUACAUUGAGAGAAUAUUAUACAAUUCUUCUGUUCUUUUUUUGGUGGAGGGGGGAAUAGCACCACUGUUUAUUUAUGCAAACCAGAAAUACAGAGGUUGGCCAUAGCACUUUCCUCUUUUUCACCCCCCAUAUCUGAUAACCCCAUAACAAAUAUCGUUGUUUCUACUUCCUAAAUAACUCUGUAAGUGGUUAAUUUUGAUUCAUUUUCCCUCAUCUUUUCAUCCAAGUACUGUAUUAUCUCUCCUGAGUACUGAAAUAAUAUAUUUCCAGGUGAGAAAAUACCCUAAACUAGCACACACUUAAAAUCCAGUCUCCACAACACACUUACAGAAUCUUUUCAAAAUGCCAGUUUGGGUGCUGGGCAGAGUAAGAUGGUGGAAUUGAAGACUCCACUGAUUGUCCCCGCCAUGAGGACACUAAUUUAAUGACUAAACACAAGAAUCAUCUUCAUAAGAACAAAAAAUCAGGUGAGCACUCACAGUACCUGGUUUUAACUUCAUUUGGCUGAAAUGAGUACAACGAGGUAGGAAAAAGUCUUGAAUCACUAAUGCCUCCAUUUUCCAUACCACGGCAGUGUCAGUGUGGUGUGGAGAGAAUUGCUGUGUGUUGCAAAGAGGGAGAGUGGGAAAUUAUGAGUCAUUUAACUGAGUGUUGCCUAUUAUAACAGAAAAAACUGGAACAAACUCAGCUUAAGUUAACCCAAGGAAGGAGAUUUUAAACCAACCCUAGCCAGAGGGGAGUUACUAAAGCCAGCAGUCUGAACUUAAAUUCUUGCAAGCCUGACCACCACUGGAUAAAAUGCUCUGGGGCUCAAAGUAAACGUGAAGGGCAGUCUAAGCCACAAGGAUGGCAACUCCUAGAAACUCCUAAUGCUGUACUGGACCCAGAGACGGGAAUGGAGGAACAUGUGACUUACUGAAACACUAGCUUGGGUGGCUAAAGGAGUGAUGGCAUUAUCUCUUCACUAACUCCAGGCUGCACAGCUCAAAGCUCCAAAAGAAACCCUUUCCCUCUGCUCAAGGAGAGGAGACUUUCUCUUGCAUCUUGGAUACCAGCUCAGCCAUAGCAGGAUAGGGCACUGUCAGAGUCUUGAGGACCCCUUUCUAGGCUCUAGCUCAUGGAUGACAUUUCUAGACAUACGCUGGGCCAGAAGGUAAUGCAUUUCCUUGAAGUGAAGAACCCAGUCCUGGCAGAAUUCAUUACCUGCUAACUGAAGAGCUCUUGGGCCCUGAAUAACCAGCAAUGAUAUCCGAGUACUACAUCAAGGGCCUUGGGUGACACUCUGGGAUGUGUUGGCUUCAGGUGAGACUCAGCACAUUCCCAGCUAUGAUGGUUAUGGGUUAAGACUCCUUCUACUUGAGAAAAUAAGAGGGAAAUGUAAAGGAGACAUUAUCUUGCACCUUAGGUACCAGCUUAGCCACAAGAGGGUAGAGUACCACUUAGGCUCUUGGGGUCUCCAAUUCCAGGACUUGGUCCUUGGGUGGCAUUUCCAGAUCUGCCCUGGGUCAGAGGGGAGCCCACUGCCUUGAAGGGGGAGUCCCAUGCCUGGCUUCAUUCAGCACAAACUGACUAAGGAGCCCUUGGGCCAAAAGAAAACAUUGGUGGCAAUGUGGACAUAUACCUCAUGGGCAUAGUGGUAGUAGUAAUAGGGCGAGGCUUAUUUGCCUUCAGAAAGAGGAGGUUCUACUUUUUGUUUGAGUGGCAGUCCAGUUGCAGCACAAUAGAACACCAGGUAGACUUCUAAGAUAUUUGAUUCUAGUCCCUGGCUCCUGUAUGGCACCUCUGGACAUGCCUUGGAUCUGGAGGAACUCACCACCCUGAAAGGAAAGACACAGGCCUGGCUGGUUUUGCCACCUGCUGAGUGUAGAACCCCAGGGCCUUGAUUGAACAUAGGCCAUAGCUAGGGAGUUGCUAUAGCAGGAUGUUGGCAAGAUCCACUGCUGUGCUGGCUUUGGGUCUGACCCAACACAAUCCUAGUGGUGGCAGGGGCUUGUGUCACUUUAUCUUCAGCUCCAGGUGGCUCAGAACAGAGAGAGAGACUCUGUUCAUUUGGGAGAAAGUAAGGAAAGAGAAAAAAUCUUUGCCUGGUAAUCCAAGGAAUUUUUCUGGAUCUUGUCCAAGAUCAUUAAGGUGGUACUUCUAUGAGUCUGCAAGAACCACAGUGCUACCAGGCUUGGGGUGCGCUUAAAGCAGCUAUAGCUUAGAUCACAGCUCCAAGUUCUUUCAAUAAUUUGAAGUCUUCCCAAAAAGAGUGAGUACAAAUAACCUCAGACUGAGAAGACUACAAUAAAUACCUAACUCUUCAGUGCCCAGAAAGAACAUCUAUUUGCAUAAACACCAUCCAGGAAAACAUACUCUCAUCAGUGAACAAAAUAAGGCAUCAGGGACCAAUCCUGGAGAAACAGAGAUAUGUGCUGUUUCAGACAGAGAAUUUAAAUAGCUGUUUUGAGGAAAGUCAAAUUCAAGAUAAUACAGAAAAAAAUUAAUAAUUUUAUCAGAUAAAUUGAAAAAAGAGAUUGAAAGAAAACAUCAAGCAGAAAUUCUGGAGCAGAACAUUGCAACUGGCAUGCUGAAGAAGCGACUAGAGUCUUUUAGUAGCGGAAUUGAUCAAUCAGAAGAAAGAAUGAGUAAGCUUGAAGAGAGGGUAUUUGAAAACACAGUCAAAGGAGACAAAAGAAAAAUAAUAAAAAGCAAUUGAGCAUGCCUACAGGAUCUAGAAAAUAGCCUCAAAAGGGCAAAAAUAAUUAUUGGCUUUAAAGAGGUGGUAGAGAAAGAGAAAGGGGUAGAAAGUUUAUUCAUAGGAAUAAUAACAGAGAACUUCUCAAUGCUAGAGAAAGAUAUCAAUAUCCAAGUACAAGAAAGUUAUGGAACACUAAGAAGAUUUAACUAAAAGAAGACUCCCUCAGUGAAGGAGAAAGAAAUGAUCCUAAACACAGCAAGAGAAAAGAAGCAAAUAACAUACAAUGGAGCUCCAAUAUUUCUGGCAUUAGACUUUUCAGUGCAAACCUUACUGUCCAGGAGAGAGUGGUGUGACAUAUUUGAAGUGCUGACGAAAAUAAACUUUUACCCUGGAAUAAUAUGUCUAGUGAAAAUGCUCUUCAAACUCGAUGGGGGAAAAAAAGACUUUCCUAGAUUGAAAAAAAAGCUGAGGGAUUUCAUCAACAUCAAACUUGUCAUAUAAGAAAGGCUAAAGAGAGUACUUCAAUCAGAAAGAAAAGGAUGUUAAUGAGCAAUAAGAAAUUAUCAGCAGGUAAAAAAGCUCACUGGUAAUAGUAAGUACACAGAAAAACACUGAAUAUCGUAACACUGUAAGUGUGGUGUAUAAACUACUUUUAUUUUAAAUAGACUAAAUUAUGAACCAAUCAAAAAUAAUAAUUACAACUUUCCAAGAUCUAGUACAAAAAGAUAGAAAGAACAAAAUUAAAAAGCAGGGAGAUAAAGUUAAGGCAUAGAUUAUUUAUUAGUUUUCUUUUUGCUUGUUUGUUUAUGCAAACAGUGUUAAGUUGUCAGCUUAAAGCAAUGGGUUAUAAAAUAGUAUUUGCAAGCCUUGCAGUAACCUCAAACCAUAAACAUAUAAUGGAUACACAAAAACCAGAAAGCAAGAAACUAAACAUAUCACCAGAGAAAAUCACCUUCACUAAAAUGAAGACAGGAGGUGUAUUAGUUCAUUUUCACGUUGCUGAUAAAGACAAACCCAAGACUGGGAAGAAAAAGAGGAUUAAUGGACUUACAGUUCCACAUGGCUGGGGAGGCCUCACAAUUGUGGCAGAAGGCAAGGAGGAGCAAGUCAUGUCUUACAUGGAUGACAGCAGGCAAAGAGUGAGUGAGUUUCUGCAGGGAAACUUUUCUUUUUAAAACUAUCAGAUCUUGUGAGACUUGUUCAUUAUUGUGAGAACAGCACAAGAAAGAUCUGCCCCCAUGAUUCAGUUACCUUUCACUGGGUCCCUCUCAUGACAUGUGAGAAUUGUGGGAGUUACAAUUCAAGAUAAGAUUUGAGUGGGGACACAGCCAACCAUGCCUGGAGGGAAAGAAGGAAGAGAAGACCACAAAAACAACUGGAGACCAAAUAAACAAAUGGCAAGAGUAAGUUCUUACUUAUCAAUAAUAACAUUGAAUAUAAAUGGACUGAACUGUUCAAUCAAAAGAUGUAAAGAGACUACACAAAUAAGAAACCAAGACUCAACGAUCUACUGACUACAAGAAACACACUUUACCUUUAAAGACACAAAGACUAAAAAUAAAGGGAUGGAAAAAGAUACUCCAUGCCAAUGGAAACUAAAAAAGAGCAGGAGUAGAUAUAUUUAUAUCAGACAAAAUAGAUUUAAAGAUGAAAAGUGUAACAAGAGACAAAGAAGGUCAGUAUAUAAAGAUAAAUAAGAUAUAACAAUUGAAAGUAUAUAUGCACCCUAUCUAUACUCCAGCACCCAGAUAUAUCAAUCAAAUAUUAUUAGGGUUAAAUAGAGAGGUCCCAACACAAAAAUAGCUGGAGUCAUCAACACCCUACUUUUAGCAUUGAACAGAUCUUUCAGAUAGAAAAUCAACAUAGAAACAUUGGACUUACUCUGCACUAUAGACCAAAUUGACCUAAUAGAUAUUACAGAACAUUUAAUCUAAUGGCUGCAGAAUAUACAACUUUCUUCUCAGCACACGGAUCAUUUUCAAGAGAAGAUGAUAUGUUAGGCCCCAAAACAAGCCUUAAAACUUAAAAAAAAAAUUGAAAUUAUGUAAAGCAUCUUCUCUGACCACAAAAGAACAAAAAUAGAAAUCAGUAACAAGAAUUUAAGAAAAAAAAUACACACACACACACGGAUAUAUAUAUGUGUGUAUAAACUACACACGCACACACGGAAAUUAAACAAUAUACUCCUGAAUGACCAGUGGGUCAAUGAAGAAAUUAAGAAGGAAAUUGAAAAAUUUCUGGAAAUAAAUGAUAAUGAAAAUACAACAUACCAAAACCUAAGGGAGAUAGCACAAGCAAUAUUAAGAGGGAAGGUUUAUAGUUAUAUAUGCCUAUAACAAAAAAGAAAACUUUACGUAAACAAUAUAAUGAAGCAUCUUAAAGAACUAGACAAACAAUAGCCAACCAAACUCAAAAUUAGUAGAAAAGAUAAAGAAUAAAGAUCAGAGCAGAAAUAAAUAAAAUUAAAAUGAAGAAAAUAACACAUAAGAUCAAUGAAACAAAAAGUUGUUUUUUUGAAAAUUUAACAAAAUUGACAAAACUUUAGUCAGAUUAACUCAAAAAACAAAAAAGAGAGAGGGAAGAACCAAAUAAAUGAAAUUGAAGAUGAAAGAAGACAUAUUACAACUGAUACUGCAGAAAUUCAAAGGAUUAUUAGUGGCUACUAUGAGUAGUUAAAUAUUGUGAAAAUCAGUAUUGUUAAAAUGUGCAUACUAUCCAAAUAUUUUGAAUAACUAUUUGCCAAUAAAUUGGCAAAUCUAGAAGAAAUGGUCAAAUACCUAGACACAUGCAAUUUACCAAGAUAGAGCCAUGAAAGAAUCCUGAACCUGAACAGACCAAUAACAAGUAAGGAGAUUGAAGCCAUAAUAAAAAAUCUUUCAGUGGGUCUCAGUCACCACUGCUAGCUCACAUACAGUGUUCUCUCGUCGCUCCGCUGCCCCACUUCUCUGCCAGUUGCAAUGGAAGAAGAAAUUGCUGUGCUCGUUAUUGACAAUGGUUCCAGCAUGUGCAAAACCGGCUUUGCUGGGGAUGACGCCCUGCAAGCUGUGUUUCCCUCCAUUGUCGGGCACCCUCAGUGCCAGGGUGUGAUGGUCGGCAUGGGCCAGAAGGACUCCUAUGUGGGCGAUGAGGCCCAGAGCAAGCGCGGUAUCCUGACCCUUGAAGUACCCCACUGAGGAUGGCAUUGUCACCAACUGGGAUGACAUGGAGAAAAUCUGGCAUGACACCUUCUACAACGAGCUGCAUGUGGCCCUGGAGGAGCACCCCAUGCUACUGACUGAUGCCCCCCUAAACCCCAAGGCCAACAGAGAGAAGAUGACUCAGAUUAUGUUUGAGACCUUCAACACCCCAGCCAUGUAUGUGGCUAUCCAGGCCGUGUUGUCCUUCUAUGCCUUUGGGUGCACCACUGGCAUUGUCAUGGACUCUGGAGAUGGGGUCAACUACACAGUGCCCAUCUAUGAGGGCUAUGCCCAUCCCCUUGCUAUCCUGCAUCUGGACCUGGCUGGCCGGGACCUGACCAACUACCUCAUGAAGAUCCUUACUGAGUGUGGCUACAGCUUCACCACCACGGCUGAGUGGGAGAUCGUGCGACAUCAAGGAGAAGCUGUGCUACAUCGCCCUGGACUUUGAGCGAGAGAUGGCCACAGCUGCAUUCUCCUCUUCUCUGAAGAAGAGCUAUGAGCUGCCCGAUGGCCAGGUGAUCACCAUUGGUAAGGAGCGGUUCCGGUAUCCAGAGGCGCUGGUCCAGCCUUCCUUUCUUGGCAUGGAAUCUUGUGGCAUCCAUGAGACCACCUUCAACUCCAUCAUAAAGUGUGACGUGGAUAUCUGUAAAGACCUGUAUGCCAAUACUGUGCUGUCCGGUGGCACUACCAUGUACCCAGGCAUCGCCGACAGGAUGCAGAAGGAGAUCACUGCCCUGGCACCCAGUACCAUGAAGAUCAAGAUAAUUGCACCCUGAGAGCAUAAAUACUCUGUGUGGAUCUUCGGCUGCAUCCUGGCCUCACUGUCCACCUUCCAGCAGAUGUGGAUUAGCAAGCAGGAGUACAAUGAGUCUGGUUCCUCCAUCGUCCACCGCAAAUGCUUCUAAAUGGACUGUGAGCAGAUGUGUAGCAUUUGCUGCAGGGGUUAAUUUGGAAGUAUAAAUUUGCCCCUAGCAAAUGCAUACACCUUAUGCUAGCCUCACAAAACUGGAAUAAGCCUUGGAAAAGAAAUUGUCCUUGAAGCUUGUAUCUGACAUCAGCACUGGAUUGUAGAACUUGUUGCUGAUUUUGACCUUGUAUUCAAGUUAACUGUUCCCCUUAUUAUUUGUUUAAUACCCUGCAUAUGUCUUUGAUUUCAACCUUUAGUACAUGUGGCUUGGUCACUUCGUGGCUGAGGUAAGAACAUGCUUGUAGGCAGACAAAUUUGGCUUGGUGAGUCUGCAUGACCAGUGGUCUCUUAUCUGUGCUGGGUAUUCAUGUGUCGGGGCUGAGUGUUCUGGGAUUGCUCUAGAGGCCGGCAAGGGCUGCCAGUUUGUCAGGGUUGGAAAGUCCAAGCCAUAGGACCCAGUUUCCUUUCUUAGCUGAUGUUUUUCUGCCAGAGCACUGUGGGCUGUUACUUGCCUUGAGUUGGAAGCAGUUUGCAUUUACACCUGUAAAUGUAUUCAUCCUUUUAAUUUAUGUAAGGUUUUUUUUGUACGCAACUCUCAAUUCUUUAAAGAGAUGAAAACAAAUUUUGAUUUUCUACUGUUAUGUGAAAACAUUAGGCCACAGCAACAUGUCAUUGUGUAAGGAAAAAUAAAAGUGCUGCC